CCUACGGGGGGCAGCAGUGGGGAAUAUUGGGCAAUGGGCGCAAGCCUGACCCAGCAACGCCGCGUGAAGGAAGAAGGCCCUCGGGUUGUAAACUUCUUUUGUCAGGGACGAAGCAAGCCCCGCCCCCCGACGAAUAAGCCACGGCUAACUACGUGCCAGCAGCCGCGGUAAUACGUAGGUGGCAAGCGUUAUCCGGAUUUACUGGGUGUAAAGGGCGUGUAGGCGGGGAAGCAAGUCAGAUGUGAAAUUCCAGGGCUCAACCCUGGAACUGCAUUUGAAACUGUUUUUCUUGAGUGGUGUAGAGG
rnacentral:rRNA from 1 species